rnacentral:rRNA from 1 species
UACAGAGGUCUCGAGCGUUGUUCGGAUUCAUUGGGCGUAAAGGGUGCGUAGGUGGCGCUGUAAGUCGGGUGUGAAAUCCUGGGGCUUAACCCCGGAACUGCAUUCGAUACUGCAGUGCUUGAGGACUGGAGAGGAGACUGGAAUUCAUGGUGUAGCAGUGAAAUGCGUAGAGAUGUGGAGGAACACCAGUGGCGAAGGCGACUCUCUGGUCUGUAACUGACGCUGAGGCGCGAAAGCGUGGGGAGCAAACAGG